AGGAGGCAGCUGAUCCAUGGUUCUCUCUCAUCAUUGAUAUUUCUAUCUCUCCCUCUUCCUUUCCCUCUGAAAUCAAUAAAAACGUACUUAAAAAAAAAAAGUCAUAAAUAAAAUAACUAAAGACAAACCAGCCACUUGAAAUAAUGAUGGACUUUUCGUCAGAACUUGAAAUUUUAGCUGAGAUAAAAUGUAAGUCUGGAAACAAAGGACUGAUUCACGCCAGCUGGCUAUCACCAUCUCUCUGCAGGAGGAGCUGCCCUCUGGCCUGCCUUAAGCCUGGACACCACGUGUGGGCUCCUCCAUGGCCCAGCUGUCAGCGUUGGGCAGGUGUGCAAUCUCAGCAGGAGAACCUGCUUCUGAGGCCUGGACAAGGUGGCCUGUUAGCUGCCAGCCAGCCUGGGAGCAAGAACCCAGCCAGUUCUCGGGUGUAUAAUCUGCACUGAGCUUGGCUUCUGCUGCUCUUCACUGUCAUUUAAGAGGAUGGUUCUUGUCUGGUCUUCCAAAACAUAUCUCCUCUCGCCCCAGUACUGGAAAUGGGCCUAGAAACAGAAAUAGCCUCUUCCUCUGUUUGGGCACCUGACAUCUUACACGGAGAGGGUGCAUGGGCAGCCGAAGUAGCAACAUCUCUUUGUUGAAGGACAACCUGGGACCUGUGCUAAGCAUUAAGUCUCUGUUCGGUAGUGUCACUACAACCAAGAUGUCUGGAAGCUCCUCCUGCUCCUUUUGGCGAUGAACAGAAGCAGUCAAUGGAUUCUGAAACUUUUGCUUACAGUGAGUGAGGGACAAAAUUAUUCUGUUGAAGAAAAUUUUUUUUCUUGCAAUCCCCAUGUUAGUAAACAUUCCAUUAAAAUUCCACAUGUGUUGUUUUUACCUUUUCCAUUGUGGCCGGAACAUUGUUUCUAUUAACAAAGAUCAACAACUACCAAUUGCAUUAAGCCUUUAUGAUAGUUAAUGAUAGCUCAUGCUUUCAUUGUGCAAAACUCCUUGUGAAACUGGCUGAGUUCCUAAGUCUGCUUGUCCUUUGGGAUUCAAAAUUACUGUGAGGAAGGUGUAUCCAUUUGGAAGGUAGCUUUAGAGUUCUGCUGUUCUAAAAAUUUGUUUUUAAAUUUUUAAAAAAGAUCAUCUUUGAACAAAACAUAAUAUGGCAAGAGACUAGGAUAGUCUGGCUGACAGCUGAAUUGGUUCUUUCAGUGUUUUGUUAUUAUAAGUCUGCUUUAAAAAUCUGAAGGAAAUAUAAUAAUAAAGCACUUUUCAGGCUAAAUAAAAUUCCACCUUUUGGAGUCAACAUGAAGAAUAUAGAUGAGGUCUUGACAGUUUGCAGAUUGAGGAAUUUUAAGAGGUGAUAGAUUCAAAACAUUGAGUGCCGGCACUCUAAUUUUCUUACAGGUAUUAAUACAGGAGAAAGGAGGCAACGGGUAGACUUUAUUUUCAACGGUUUUGGGUAAAUUGUGCUACCGUGUAAGAAACCCCGGACUGAGUGUCAGGACCCAGAAUUUAACUUGACUUUGCCACUGCCCAGCAGAGCUACUAUAUGCAAACUGCACAUGAAGCUGUAAGUUGCAAAGAAAAGAGCUUCUAGAAGAGGAAAUGUGAGUUAUCUUAAUUUUUUUCUACCAUUUAAUUGUUCUUUCCUGAGUGCACGUUUCAGACAUUUUUAUCAUAUUUCUGAGCUGAGUUUUAUUUUUACGUAUUGGAAAGAAUGCCGAAUUUACCAUGAAUUUUUCUUACGGUGGCGUUUUUUUGUUUUUUUGUUUUUGUUUUUGUUUUUUUUUUCUCCCGGCUUUUUACUUUGAAUUCAUACUUGGCCUAGGUAAUUCCCUGUGUGUUAAAAACAAAACAAAACAAUGUCCCAAAGGAAAAAAAACAAACAUGGCUACAUUGUUCCAUGAAUUAAAAACAAUAUGCUGAGAGUCCAAACAUUUCUUUUAAAUGUAAAAAAUUUUAGGUCAUUAUUUUUAUAGGAAGAAAAAUACUAAACCUUGCUUUAACUAUCCUGUUCAUUGUUUUUCUUUUCCCUUUUUUAUUUAUUUUGCUUUGUUUUGACUCAUGUAGUUUAAAUGUUUUUGAAAACAGUAUUUAUAUGUUCUUCUUUACGAACAUGACACAUAAAAAGGAAAACAUCAGAAUUCCAUUUUAUAUUUGAAGAGAAAAGCCACAGGAAGACAUGUAGUCUACUGAGGGCAGGACAUGUCUGUUAACAUCAAGGCUUUUUAACGCUCACGUUGCUUGGUUGCAUUGCAUAGUUGUCAUUAUUGUUCAGCUAGUACACACGAAAUAGGCAGGUGAGUGCAAUGUUAGUUAAGACGUUCACUUUCGUGAAGUGAAAAUGUAGGACAAUAGCAUCAGGAGAAGGCUGAGAAUUCAAUCUGUUUUUGUUGUCAUCUUUAUUAUUUAAUGCACCAGUUAGCCAAUUGCUAUAAAAUUCUAAUUGCUAACUUUUUAAAGUGGGUUAAAGGUAAAAGCAUUCUUUGUCCCCUGGAUCCCUACCCUCUGGCUCUUUUCCUCUGUUUCCACGUCUUCUCGGUAACAUAAGCCUGGCCACCAGCAUCACAAAGUACGUGUGUCAGAAUCUUGACACACACAUUCUUUUACCUUUUCUCUAAAAGGGGGAGGCAUCUCUAGCCCGGUAAUGUGGUAAUCGAGACUAGGAAUAAUCAUGUUCCACAGGCAUGUAGAUUGUUUUUCUCUCCUGAAAUUCAGUUUUAAGUUACUACUGUAUUGGGAAAUGU